CGCCCAUGAGGUGGAAUCGAACCACUUCGGCUAUUAACCGACUACAGAUUUGAAGUCUGCACUCUGACCAUCAGAGUUCACACGGGC
rnacentral:tRNA from 1 species